rnacentral:rRNA from 1 species
GACGAAGGAUGCAAGCGUUAUCCGGAUUCAUUGGGUUUAAAGGGUGCGUAGGCGGACUGAUAAGUCAGUGGUGAAAUCUCCGGGCUCAACCCGGAAACUGCCAUUGAUACUGCAGGUCUAGAGUACAGUUGCCGUUGGCGGAAUAUGACAUGUAGUGGUGAAAUACUUAGAUAUGUCAUAGAACACCGAUUGCGAAGGCAGCUAACGAAGCUGUAACUGACGCUGAGGCUCGAAAAGUGCGGGGAUCAAACAGG